rnacentral:rRNA from 1 species
UAUGAGCUUGCUCCUGAUGGCGAGUGGCGAACGGGUGAGURAUAURUCGUGAACGCUGCCCWAGAGUGGGGGAUAACUAGUCGAAAGACUAGCUAAUACCGCAUACGAUCUAAGGAUGAAAGUGGGGGAUCGCAAGACCUCAUGCUCGUGGAGCGGCCGAUAUCUGAUUAGCUAGUUGGUGGGGUAAAAGCCUACCAAGGCAACGAUCAGUACGCUGGCUCUGAGAGGACGACCAGCCACACUGGGACUGAGACACGGCCCAGACUCCUACGGGAGGCAGCAGUGGGGAAUUUUGGACAAUGGGGGCAACCCUGAUCCAGCAAUGCCGCGUGAGUGAAGAASGCCUUCGGGUUGUAAAGCUCUUUUGUCAGGGRAGAAACGGUUCUGGAUAAUACCUAMGACUAAUGACGGUACCUGAAGAAUAAGCACCGGCUARCUACGUGCCAGCAGCCGCGGYAAUACGUARGGUGCAAGCGUUAAUCGGAAUUACUGGGCGUAAAGCGUGCGCAGGCGGUUGUGUAAGUCAGAUGUGAAAUCCCCGGGCUCAACCUGGGAAUUGCAUUUGAGACUGCACGGCUAGAGUGUGUCAGAGGGGGGUAGAAUUCCACGUGUAGCAKUGAAAUGCRUAGAUAUGUGGAGGAAUACYGAUGGCGAAGGCAGCCCCCUGGGAUAACACUGACGCUCAUGCACGAAAGC